UAAAACACGACGAAAACCCAAAAAGAAAACCCUAGAACAACAGUUCAGAUCAUACACAAAGUAAAAAAAAACCUAGAAUGGAAAAAAACGCAAGUUAGCAAAUAUAUACCUUUGUAUACUUGAGAAAUAAACAGUCGUAUAGCAGCAUGGAGCAAGAGACUCGACGGGAAAGAAAUCCUCUUCUUCUUGAGGCAAGAUAGGAAGGACGAGAAAUCCUGUUCUUCAAUAUUUGGGCGCCGGCGGAGGUGAAGUUCGAACUUCG
rnacentral:lncRNA from 1 species